AAAUGAGCAAGACAAGUCCUGAGGGUUCCCUUGGUCCAUGGCCAAAGUUCUUCUGGAGAGUGCCGGGGCUGGUCCCGCCUGCAGAGGGGCGUUUCCUGCAGUGAGAAGAACACAAACUCACAACCAUUAAGGCCUGGCAGUUCCCUGCAGUGAGAGCUCAGCACACAUCCAGAGGCAAUUCCAGCAUCUGAAAGGAAGAAGAAAAAGGGACUGUUUCAUCAACCUCUGAAGCUGACAAGCCCAAAGGCUCUGGAGUCUGUCUGCUCUGGAACACAAGGAUACUCCCAGGGAUGAGGCACAUUCCCAGCAAACGCUCCCAACAUGGCACAGAGGCACCACUGGAGCUCGUGUUGGGGCUGGGAAGGGCUGCCAGGAGGACACAGCCCCCAGCUGGGGUGGCAGUGGCAGUGACAGCAGCAAAUUCCCACAGGCUGAUGGCACAACAGAGGGACAAAGGCCAGCAAUGCCCAUGGCAGCUGCAGGUUUCAUUGUGCUCCCUGCGCUGCCACAUCCCGGCAGGAAAGCUCCAGGGGGGACAGAAACUCCCUGGGUGCACAAAGUGCAGCCUCUGUGCCCCUGAUCCUGCUGGAACUCAGCUGUGGGGCCAGCCCCCAGGGUAAACACUGCCCUGCCUGCAGCAGCCUCAGGCACUGCCCCAUUCUCAGCUCCCCCUGCCCCGGGGCUGCCACCACAUUCCUGACCAGGAGCCAAAGGCCCCUUGGGACAGGGCUCUCUCUGUGUCUCAGCCUUGGGGACUGCAGGGACCAGGCAAGGACAGCCUGAAACCAGGGCAGAUUCCUCUGGGGACAGCUGGGGACUCACCCCACACCACGGGCAGGACCAGGGGCCCUCCAGUGCAGGCUGGAGCCUGUUGGGUUUGGCUGCUCAAACACCAAAGCUUUGGGCAGAGAUGGGAUGAGUUAAGUGGUUUUUCCUGUCCUGAAAGAGAGGAGAAAAUGGAAAUCAGGUCCACUCUGGAAGUCAAAGGCUCCUGGCUUUCCCACUUCUGUUCUGAUUGCCCACUGUGGGGUUCUAUCCAUAAAAAAUGAGAGGUGACACCAAAUAAAAGUGCCCCUCAUCAACAUUUUAUUCCCUACUAUUUCAGUACAUAAAAAGGAUGCCAUUUUUUCUUAUUGCAUUCUUUGCCUAAUUUUAACAGAACCAUUUUCAUUCCAGGCUCCACUUUGGGGGUUCCUGAAUCCUUUGCCAUUGGACUUUGGACAAAGGAAGAGAAGGAUCUGUUCCACACAGGGAUCAUCCAAUGGGGAACAGCCCCUGUGCCAACCCCAGCCUGGGCUGAGCACGCUGCGUCACUCCCCCAUUCUGGAUCCUGGCUCCACUCCAGUCUGAGUUUUCCCCCAUUUUCCAUGCCUAGAGACAGGAAAUUGUCCUGGGAUGUGCUGCUGAGUGCCACAGGCAUAGAAUGCCUCAGCAUUCCCUGGGGAUGCCAUUCAAGGCUGAACUUGUCAUCACAAGAGCUCUGCACUGACUGCUCAGCCCCAGCUCCAGUUGGGAAUGUCUCAAACAGAAGUGUGGAGUAUUUGCUCCCUCUCCCUCCCAGCCACUGGGACAGCUCACACAGAAUGUCACUGACUUACUGGGUCUGGAAUUCUGGCUCAAAAGGCAGGUGGUGGAAUAUCCUCUUCUGGGAAUAUCCAGGAUACCAGGAGGGUCCCUAGAAGCCACAGGUCAGGGUCAGAGUCAGAUGAACAAUCCUGAACUGAUUUUCAGUGGAUGCAUCCCCACUGUGUGGCUGCAACAACUCCACAGCUGUUCCUUCCACUUGGCAUGGCCAGGGAAAACAUCCCCAUCAUGGAUUUCUGACAGGAAAAACCUCACAGCUCCGGGAUACUUGGCUCCUCCCAAAUCCAGGUCAGCACUCCAACAGGCUCUAAGGAAUAAACAACAGGAAAGACCAUCUCAGCAUGCACACCAUGAGCUGGGCACCACAUUCCUCACUGGAACUGGGCUGCUCCUACAUCUGUGUGACAACUGGUAGCAUCCCCAUUUCCUCACUCCUCCAUUCAGAAAGAGACAUCAGAGCCCUUAAACAACCAGUGUGCAAUCCGAACAACCCAGGGAGAACCUCCUCACUCCGGGAAGAAAUGUAAUGCCCAGUUUUGGGAAAAAACAAAUAGCAAGACUGGAAACAUUUCCAGGCAUGGAGUCUCUCAGCUCUGGAAAUGCAGCUACCAGGCUUCUUCCCAUGGGAGCCCCAAACUUGACCCUGACUGGGCUCAGGAAGAAAACCCCACCCAUUUCACCAGCCUGGCGUUGAACAAAUUCCAUGCACACCGCAGGAGGGUGUCCCUGACCCUGGCCAAGCAUGGGAACAGGAUGAUCUAAAAGGUUCCUUCCAACCCAGACCAUUCCAGGAGUUUAAGGCUACUUAAACUUGAUUUGAGCCGCUUCUUAGCUCACAACCCCUUCCCAAACCUCAUCCUCUGAGCUGCCUUUCCUAGACCUUGCUGCUCUCCCCAAACACACCCACUACCAGUUGCUGUGCCCUGCCCAAAACCACUGGGUGACACAAGAGGCUGAGCCGUUGUCUUGGCUGUUUUCCAUAAUCCAGCACUUCAGGGACUCCAGAGUCAGACAAUUAGGAUCAAUCCCAGGUUCCAGGCACUGGCUCAAAGCAGCUGCUGUGCUGGAAGGGACAAUUUCAGAGGCUCCUCUCCCCUCAGCUGGGAAUUCAGUGCUGCAAAGGGCCCGGCAGUGAUUGAGGAUUUAUCUGUUCCUAUGGAUUAAUCCCCAGCAUUCACUGCCAAGUGCUGCUGGAGCAUCUCUCCACAGAAAAGAGCUGUGCCCAGUCCAGAGGGUUCUCAGUGGUGUCCCUGCCCAGUUUCCCAGGAUGGAUGGGAAGCUGCUACUGGCAGGCUGGAUCUGAGGGGAACUUCAAUAAUUUGCUGAAAGCUUCUAAAAUAGGGACUUGUUUCCAAGUCUAAAGCAACUCAAAUCCAAUGGCUCACCAGGCUUACUAAUAAAGUGCUGCAAAAAUG